rnacentral:lncRNA from 1 species
CAACUCUAACCUUUAUAAGUAGGAAAGAUUUGUUUAUUUGGGAUAGGUCUCACAAAAGUAACAUUUGUUUAUUCUAUCUUUUGAAAAGCUGCUAGUCUCACAUGUGGAUAUAAAUGCAUUUGUUUAUUUAUGUGGUCCCACAUGUGAACUCACCACCAACUCUAACCUUUAUAAGUAGGAAAGAUUUAAAACAUAUGUGAAUGGUCGUAAGUAAUUUGAAUGCAAGAUCGUGGAUUUGGUAGGAGGACAACAUCUACAACCACAUUGAAGUUGCAAUGUGCUCGCUCUCUCCUCCGCAAAAAUAAAUAAAUGUGUUCACUCUCUUCUGUUAUGCUAUAGAACUGGGAGAAUUGGUUGGGCAGAGAAAUUAAUAUAAAGACCAUAGUUUUGAACUGGAGUCGUAUGCAUUUAUAAUCUAUGUUUUUAUAAGAGUGUUAUUCUCAUAUUAGGGUAGUAGUGUAUUUGUUUAUUUGGGAUAGGUCUCACAAAAGUAACAUUUGUUUAUUCUAUCUUUUGAAAAGCUGCUAGUCUCACAUGUGGAUAUAAGUGCAUUUGUCUAUUUGUGUGGUCCCACAUGUGAACUCACCACCAACUCUAACCUUUAUAAGUAGGAAAGAUUUGUUUAUUUGGGAUAGGUCUCACAAAAGUAACAUUUGUUUAUUCUAUCUUUUGAAAAGCUGCUAGUCUCACAUGUGGAUAUAAAUGCAUUUGUUUAUUUAUGUGGUCCCACAUGUGAACUCACCACCAACUCUAACN